CCCCUAGCAACAGAGGCAACAUGGCGGCGUCCAGUACCGCGGAGCAUUCUCCAGAGAUAUCGACGCCGUUAAAGAUACCGAAAACCGAGGUGCCAUCCCCUGAGUCGGAGGACUUGAGUGACAGUAAUCAAUAUCACUCUAAUCCCUCGACACCAAAUCGCUUCUCGCCUUUGAACGUCGGCUCAGGGACCGCGGGCCGGACGGCGGCCUCAUCCUCCUCCAACAGCUUCACGGCUUGCCGAGGGAUGUCGUGGACCCCGUCCGAGACAAACGCCCUCAUCGCGGUCUGGGGCAAUGAGAGGCUGACGGAGGCGAGAAUGCAGCAGCUGGAGGUCGCAGGCACCGUGUUCUCCGGUAAGGCCCCCGGUCCUGCCAUGUACGAGCGGGUGUCCAGAGCCUUGUCGGAGCUGGGAUAUGAGAGGACCCCGUCCCAGUGCAGGGAGAGGAUGAAGACGCUGCGGCGCUGCUACAGCCGUGUGAAGGAGCACGGCAUCGGCAAAAGGAAGAGCAGCUACACCAUAGAGCAGCUGGAGAAGGUGUUUGGGCAGGGAGGCUGGGACUCCCAGAGUUGUGCCCCAGUGCUGAUCAACAGCAGUGGGCUGUAUCAGGAGAUGGAGUCUGAUGGCAGCACCCUAGAGGACUUCUCCCAGGAGGACUGGUGCAACCAGGUGCUGGACUCAGCCUUCCAGGAGGGAGACAUGGAAACUGAGGAAAUCCAGGUGCCUAAUAACAGAGCUCUGCAGAUUCAAAUAGAGCUGUCAGAACAAACCCAAAAAAGGGACAUGAUGCAGACUGUGAUGCGUAUCCUUGAGUCGGUUCAGCUGAAAUGGGAGCACUUCCAGACAUGGACUGAGUUCUCCAGGCUGCACCUCUCCAACAAACUGGCCAUCUUUGGUGUGGGGUACAACACACGCUGGCGCGAGGAAGUGCGUUACCACUACGCCGAAAUCAGCUCUCAGGUGCCGCUUGGCAAGAGGCUUCGUGAGUACUUCAACCCAGAAAAGCCAGAGGGCCGCAUCAUCAUGACCAAAGUUCAGAAGAUGAACUGGAAGAAUGUCUAUUACAAGUUUCUGGACAUUACCAUCAGUGAGGCGCGCUGCCUGGAGCUGCACAUGGAAGUGGACUGGAUCCCUGUAUCACAGUCCAGGGCAGCAGGCUGCAGAAAAGGCACAUCCCACUACCUCCUUCCUGUGAACAUCCCCAAGGCGUAUGGACUCUACGCUAUUGGCUACGAGGCGGUGUCUUAUUGUUACGACACUCACAUCUUUCCUCAGGGUGAUAGUGAAGACCAUAGCUUACCUACAUGCGAGUCUGAGAACGCGGCACAAAGUCAGGCUGAUGGAGGAGGUGCAGAUAAUUUUUACAGGACUGGGACUAAAGUCACUUACUGUUACCUAGGCAUAGCUGAGGAUAGGACCAUACAGCAGAGUCUCUUCCAGCACUUCCAGGGCUAUGGCAAACACUAUGCCCAUGGUGAAUCCUCCCCUGUGACGCGUUUCCUGCAGGAGAACUGCCACGGUGCUGUCACAAAUGAGAAUGGUGAAGGAAGUGAAGAGUCAUCUCAACAUUUUGCCAUUUACAUCAAAUUCAUUGAGGUGGAGCUGGACUUCCUCUCAGCCGGCUCCCUGGUGGAGUGCCUCGAAACUGCUGUUGGUUGUUCCUUGAAGUACAACAACAAAGAAACAUCGUAACUACACUCAGUGUUUCAGAUUUGUAUUGACUAAAGAUAUAAUCAACAAGUGUUACAGCCAGCAAGGCAACAUGAAAGGUGACCAAUUCUGUCUGUUAUAAAGCAUGGAUGUGUGCAAGAGUCUGGCAUAUUUUUGCAGCCUUUUUAGCACUAUUGAACUGAUUUUCCAUUAGACCCUUAUUAAGUCUAAAAAGAAUGACGAUACACAAUAUGGCAAAUGUAUUGUGUAGCGAUAUGGGAACAGUAGUUUAUGUAUUACAGAGCUGCAACAUCCAAGAAGUAUGUACUUAUUAUUUUUAGGCUAAUGUGCACUACAAAGGUUUCUGCUGCUUGUAGAUAAAUGUUACACAUAAUAUACAUCAGGGAGGGUGGUGUUGGCAAGGUGACUACUGCAGUAAGCAUCUGUCUACCUCAGUAGGAUGUAGCCAACAAGGCAGUGAGGGGACCAUAGCGUGUAUUUAUUUUGAAACUGCCUUUACUUUGAGUGUGGACCUGAAUUCACAAAGCAUUGAAGAGUAACUGCUGAUUUAUGCCUUAUGUUUUGCACAUGUAACUCGGCUGCAGCUAGGGAUGCUUCCAUGCAAAUUAGGGAGAAUAAGCAAUGGCCAAUGUGGACACCUGUUUAUCCAGCAGUGUGAACACUGGGGGCACAAACCCACCUGGCCGGUUGAGCAUGGGCUUCAUUCCAUUUCAAUUCAGCACACUAAACGACACAUGCCACUUAUGCCGACCUGUAACAACGGUUCUGUGCAGCAAGUAAACAAAAUACCAUGUUUAUCAACUAUACACUAAUGUAAACAUCUUUCAGACUGAAUACCAUGGCUGAAUCUAAAUGGAAAAGGUUCUGUAGUGUCUUUGCAACACUGAAAAGCUGUUAAAAGACUAAAUUAAACUUUAUCACAGCAUGUCCACCACCUGCUCCUGUUUGGAGAUUCAGAGUCAGACCUGCCUCCUGCUCUCAUUUGGUUGUAAGGGCAAUGUUAAGAACCCAAGAUUAAAUAAAAGCCCAGGUUAAAUAGAGCCCAGGUUAAAUAGAAGCCCAGGUUAAAUAAAGCCCAGGUUAAAUAGAGCCCAGGUUAAAUAGAAGCCCACGUUAAAUAGAGCCCAGGUUAAAUAAAAGCCCACGUUAAAUAGAGCCCAGGUUAAAUAGAAGCCCAGGUUAAAUAGAAGCCCAGGUUAAAUAGAGCCCAGGUUAAAUAGAAGCCCAGGUUAAAUAGAGCCCAGGUUAAAUAGAGCCCAGGUUAAAUAGAAGCCCAGGUUAAAUAGAGCCCAGGUUAAAUAGAAGCCCAGGUUAAAUAGAAGCCCAGGUUAAAUAGAGCCCAGGUUAAAUAGAAGCCCAGGUUAAAUAGAGCCCAGGUUAAAUAGAAGCCCAGGUUAAAUAGAGCCCAGGUUAAAUGGAGCGCAGACGGCAGGUAUGACACUGAAUGCCUCUCCACUGAUAACCACACAUUGGCCUUAAGACCAAAUGCAGCGCAGUUGUUAAGCUGUCUUGUUAUCUGUUUAGCCUUCUUGCUGACUUUGUUGCAUGGUCUGUUAUAGCUCUAAUACACAUUAAAAUGUUUGACUAGGUUGGUGGUAUUCAGAGUUUUGCUCUUGCACAAGCAAAAUUUAUUGUACACAACUUUGAGUUUUGUCUUUUCGAGAUAUUCAGAAAUACAGCCAGAUCAGUACAGACAUGACAUUGCCAUGGUAUCAGCUAGCAUGAGAAGUGUCUGAUGUUACACUGCAGUGUAAGUAUACAGUAAGGCAAUAUGUAUUGGUGGCCAGUACUUUGGAGCAUUUCUAGCUGGAGCUGUGAGAGAGUUUGAGAGUGGGUUUCAGUAGAGCAACAUAACAGAAGCUGUGUUGAUGAGUUACCAGCACCUCCCACAUACUGGGAUUGCAAUGCCCCAGUCCUGCGGAUAACACACAAUCAUGCUUAUGGGUGUAAACCAGACAGCACUGAUCUUCGACUUCUAGUCUGGACAACAAGCUGCGUCCUUGACCAGUAAAUUAAACUGAAUUAUUUAUGAAAAUGAUUGCUGAGGUUAUGUGCAAUGUGCCAGGAAAGGACUGUAGAGAAGAAUCAAGCAAUGGAGAAGUCCAUAUUGAAUCUAUGUAUAUGAAAUGUACCUUUAUAUAUCUAUAAUAAAUAUAUAUAUAUAUAUAUAUUAUAUAUAUUUAUAUAUCUAUAAUAAAUAUAUAUAU